rnacentral:lncRNA from 1 species
ACUGUACUUUGACUGUACAUACACUUGGUCCCUACCUAUUCGGGUCCUUACAGUGCAUGUUGGCUGCAAUAGGUUCAUUGUAGGAAAACGGUGUGCACUUAUAUUGAAUCUAUCUCCCUUAGUAGAUAGGGGCGUUAGUCCUAUGUAAUUUAUGAGACCGAGUUUAGAAGACCUUGGCCAGGGCAGAAUUAAUAUCGGAAAGAGAUUUUCGAUAUUAGAAACUCGAGUCGAAUAAAUUUGACAUAUGACAGAUGAUGGGGUUUGACGAGUUAUUCCAUGACCUCCGUCUAUUAGGACUCAUAAUAGAAGCACUAUAUCACACAGUAACUGCACCAAGAGGUUCAAUG